CUAACCUGUAGCCCCAUAGUCUUGGAAAAGUGGCUUUUCCACUGUUCCCACUGUCCUUCUGAUACCAUCACAAUAAGCUGGGCUUUUAAAAAACAAAAACCAGGAAUGUCUGUCAUCUUCAAAUAACUUCCAUUUUAGCCCCACAACUGAAGAAAACAGAUUCCAAACACAAAUGAGGACUCAAGCAGAGCCCUGCCACCCGAGCCAACUAUAUUCCUCCUUCUGCGAGCCUCGAACACUGGGUCUUCUGACAGCGAUGCUUUCCCCUUUUCCGGAGACACCAGUUCUGCAGCCUGGAGUCCCGUCACCCAGGACACUCCUUAACCCUCCUCACAGGACUCCCGAGGGCCUCUCACUUUCUGUCACUGGCUUGAUUAUUUUGUCUCAAGCCUACUUUCUCUAGUUCCACUCAGAUCAUUUGUUCCCCGGUGAGAGCACUCGCUCUUUGGCUCUUUGGUGUUGUUCAGAUUGUGGAACCAAGUCCCAUUUGAUCACG
rnacentral:lncRNA from 1 species